GGAUUCGAUACAAGCUACUGUCAUUUUGGAGGAAGGAAUCUCAACUGAGAAAAUAUCUCCAUUACACUGAACUAUCACCCCUCACUUACUCUCUCUUCCAGAUCCACUCUCUCUCCUUCUUCCAUCAGAAAAGAUCAGGCCUCCAAGAGCCAAAUAAACACACCAAAAGUGUAUAUGAUAAAACAAGGCAAAAGUCCUCACACUGAAGCUGCACAUGGUCACCCAAGAGAAGGAAAAGUGUCCCAAGAACAGGAGAAAGAGUCAGAGACACGCCCAAUCCAAGAGUUAGGAGUCCUACAGAAACACCAAGGUAUAUACAUACAAGAAAAAACUGGUAUGUGUAGAAUUCAGGUAUGGCUGUGUUUUCAAGCAUCCUCUGAGGGUCAGGACUUCAAUCCCAUGGAUAAUUGGGAAUCGAUACUAUAUAUGCAAUACAUAAUCAGUUGAAGACAGCAGGAAAAUCCAGUGGACAUUGAUCUGAUUCACAUGACAGGUGGAAAGUUAUCGUUUUGACCAUUUUCAAGCAUUGUUU